rnacentral:rRNA from 1 species
GAUGAACGCUGGCGGCGUGCCUAAUACAUGCAAGUCGAGCGAAUGGAUUAAGAGCUUGCUCUUAUGAAGUUAGCGGCGGACGGGUGAGUAACACGUGGGUAACCUGCCCAUAAGACUGGGAUAACUCCGGGAAACCGGGGCUAAUACCGGAUAACAUUUUGAACCGCAUGGUUCGAAAUUGAAAGGCGGCUUCGGCUGUCACUUAUGGAUGGACCCGCGUCGCAUUAGCUAGUUGGUGAGGUAACGGCUCACCAAGGCAACGAUGCGUAGCCGUCCUGGGAGGGUGAUCGGCCACACUGGGACUGAGAGACGGCCCAGACUCCUACGGGCGGCAGCAGUAGGGAAUCUUCAGCAAUGGACGAAAGGCUGACGGAGCAACGCCGCGUGGGUGAUGAAGGCUUUCUGGUCGUAAAACUCUGUUGUUAGGGAAGAACAAGUGCUAGUUGAAUAAGCUGGCACCUUGACGGUACCUAACCAGAAAGCCACGGCUAACUACGUGCCAGCAGCCGCGGUAA